ensembl:snRNA U6 U6 spliceosomal RNA
GUGAUCGCUUUGACAGUACAUAUACUAAAAUUGGAACAAUACAGAGAAGAUUAGCAUGGCCUCUGCACAAGGAUGAUACACAAAUUUGUGAAGCAUUCCAUAUUUUU